GUCCACACUUCGUUACAUCGUUCGCCCAACAGAUCAUCGGAGGAAAAGCGGGGGAGAUCACAGGAAGUUUGAAACAAGAUGCGUGCCAAGUGGAAGAAGAAGCGAAUGAGGAGACUAAAGAGGAAGCGCCGAAAGAUGAGACAAAGAUCCAAGUAGAGAAAAUUAGCUUUAGACUGUAAGCUGGCUUCUUCCAAUCUUUCUUCAUGCAUAUCAUCUUUUGCAUAGGCAUGGAGUUUGAUUGAUCUUUGGGUCCAAGCUGUAUAUGGUCUAGUUAGUUUCUUAUAUUGUUACUAUCAUUUUGAAUCGCCACAUGUUCUUCAUGCAAUGCUUAAUUUACUGAUAUUUUUAGUUUCUAUGUUUUCUUUAUAUCCUACCAUAUC